UUCAUGCGUGAGUUCCAAAUAUCUCUAACGGUCGCCCCAGCGUGAGUUUUUUUUAUGCACGUGAUGUUAGAAUGUUCUCUCCAUUCCAGAAUGUGAUUGAUACGUAACAGUACAUUUUAUCCGCGCUGCCCUCAAACUAAAGCACGCAGCCUGUUUAUAUUUAUAGGUUGUUUUAACUUCAAUUUCAAAUGAUUUUCAAACAAGUUUUUAUUUUCUAAAAACAGUUUGAAUUUAGGUGUGUUCCGCCUCCUCAUUCAUUCACAUAAAAAUAGUCAUUUUUACUUUUGCGGAUAAUUACAUUUUUGGGACAUUUCUGACACGGACAAAAUUCCCCAAGCACUUCCCAAUUGUUUGUGCAGUUCACGUCUGCAGACAUUUGCUCAUCUCCCAUCAGAACAGGAUCUGCACACGUGUUCACAUUUUCUAUUCCACAUUUCUAUUGUAGCGUACUGUAUGUAUGGAGCAUAAUAUAUUUGUGUAUAUUCUUUAUCACCGCGGACACGUGAGCUACCAUGGCCUUAUGACUCUCAAGUGGUGCAGCGGUCAAAGGCACAGCACAUCAGUACUAGAGGCGUCACUACAGACUCCCUGGUUCAAAUCCAGGCUGCGUUUCCAUCAAA